UACGUAGGGGGCAAGCGUUAUCCGGAUUCACUGGGUUUAAAGGGUGCGUAGGAGGGCAGGUAAGUCCGUGGUGAAAUCUCUGAGCUUAACUCAGAAACUGCCGUGGAUACUACCGGUCUUGAAUAUCGUGGAGGUGAGCGGAAUAUGUCAUGUAGCGGUGAAAUGCUUAGAUAUGACAUAGAACACCAAUUGCGAAGGCAGCUCACUACCCGAAUAUUGACUCUGAGGCACGAAAGCGUGGGGAUCAAACAGG
rnacentral:rRNA from 1 species